GCCACAGUAGCCCAAUGGCAGAGGCAACCGUCUCAAAAGCGGUUCAGUGUGAGUUCGAAUCUCACCUGUGGCA
rnacentral:tRNA from 1 species